rnacentral:rRNA from 1 species
GACGAACGCUGGCGGCGUGCUUAACACAUGCAAGUCGAGCGGUAAGGCCCUUUCGGGGGUACACGAGCGGCGAACGGGUGAGUAACACGUGGGUGACCUGCCUCUAGCUCUGGGAUAAGCCUGGGAAGCUGGGUCUAAUACCGGAUAUGACCUCGCGGUGCAUGUUGCGGGGUGGAAAGCCUUGUGCGGCUAGGGAUGGGCCCGCGGCCUAUCAGCUUGUUGGUGGGGGUGANGGCCUACCAAGGCGACGACGGGUAGCCGGCCUGAGAGGGCGACCGGCCACACUGGGACUGAGACACGGUCCAGACUCCUACGGGAGGCAGCAGUGGGGAAUCUUGCGCAAUGGGCGAAAGCCUGACGCAGCGACGCCGCGUGAGGGAUGACGGCCUCGG